rnacentral:rRNA from 1 species
UACGUAGGGUGCAAGCGUUGUCCGGAAUUAUUGGGCGUAAAGAGCUCGUAGGUGGCCUGUCGCGUCGGCUGUGAAAACUCGGGGCUCAACUCCGAGCUUGCAGUCGAUACGGCCAGGCUAGAGUUCGGCAGGGGAGACUGGAAUUCCUGGUGUAGCGGUGAAAUGCGCAGAUAUCGGGAGGAACACCAGUGGCGAAGGCGACUUCCUGGCCUGUUCUUGACGCUGAGGCGCGAAAGCUGGGGGAGCAAACGGG